rnacentral:rRNA from 1 species
UACGAAGGGGGCUAGCGUUGCUCGGAAUUACUGGGCGUAAAGCGCACGUAGGCGGCUCUUUAAGUCGGGGGUGAAAUCCUGGAGCUCAACUCCAGAACUGCCUUCGAUACUGAGGAGCUUGAGUCCGGGAGAGGUGAGUGGAACUGCGAGUGUAGAGGUGAAAUUCGUAGAUAUUCGCAAGAACACCAGUGGCGAAGGCGGCUCACUGGCCCGGUACUGACGCUGAGGUGCGAAAGCGUGGGGAGCAAACAGG